rnacentral:rRNA from 1 species
AAUCAACGCUGGCGGCGUGCCUCAGACAUGCAAGUCGAACGAUUAAGACUUCCUUCGGGAAGUGUAUAAAGUGGCGCACGGGUGAGUAACACGUAAGAAAUCUACCUUCGAGUGGGGAAUAACGUCCGGAAACGGACGCUAAUACCGCAUAAUGCAGCGGCACCUAAUGGUGACAGUUGUUAAAGGAGCAAUUCGCUUGAAGAGGAGCUUGCGGCAGAUUAGCUAGUUGGUAAGGUAACGGCUUACCAAGGCUACGAUCUGUAACCGGUCUAAGAGGACGGUCGGUCACACUGACACUGAAUAACGGGUCAGACUCCUACGGGAGGCAGCAGUCGGGAAUUUUGGGCAAUGGGCGAAAGCCUGACCCAGCAACGCCGCGUGAAGGAUGAAGUAUUUCGGUAUGUAAACUUCGAAAGAAUGGGAAGAAUAAAUGACGGUACCAUUUAUAAGGUCCGGCUAACUUCGUGCCAGCAGCCGCAGUAACAC